rnacentral:tRNA from 1 species
GCGGGCGUGAUGUAGUGGCAGCGUUCGACCUUCCCAAGGUCGCAGUGUGGGUUCGAUUCCCAUCGCCCGCU